rnacentral:rRNA from 1 species
UACAGAGGGGGGCAAGCGUUUGUUCGGAAUUACUGGGCGUAAAGGGCGCGUAGGCGGCCUUCUAAGUCGAACGUGAAAUCCCCGGGCUCAACCCGGGAACUGCGUCCGAUACUGGAAGGCUUGAAUCCGGGAGAGGGAUGUGGAAUUCCAGGUGUAGCGGUGAAAUGCGUAGAUAUCUGGAGGAACACCGGUGGCGAAGGCGACAUCCUGGGACCGGUAUUGACGCUGAGGCGCGAAAGCCAGGGGAGCAAAGCGGG